rnacentral:rRNA from 1 species
UACACUCCUGCGGGAGGCAGCAGUGGGGAAUAUUGGACAAUGGGCGCAAGCCUGAUCCAGCCAUGCCGCGUGAGUGAUGAAGGCCCUAGGGUUGUAAAGCUCUUUCACCGGUGAAGAUAAUGACGGUAACCGGAGAAGAAGCCCCGGCUAACUUCGUGCCAGCAGCCGCGGUAAUACGCAGGGGGCUAGCGUUGUUCGGAUUUACUGGGCGUAAAGCGCACGUAGGCGGACUAUUAAGUCAGGGGUGAAAUCCCGGGGCUCAACCCCGGAACUGCCUUUGAUACUGGUAGUCUUGAGUUCGAGAGAGGUGAGUGGAAUUCCGAGUGUAGAGGUGAAAUUCGUAGAUAUUCGGAGGAACACCAGUGGCGAAGGCGGCUCACUGGCUCGAUACUGACGCUGAGGUGCGAAAGCGUGGGGAGCAAACAGGAUUAGAAACCCCAGUAGUCCCA